UACAGAGGGUGCAAGCGUUAAUCGGAAUUACUGGGCGUAAAGCGUGCGCAGGCGGUCUGUUAAGACCGAUGUGAAAUCCCCGGGCUUAACCUGGGAACUGCAUUGGUGACUGGCAGGCUUUGAGUGUGGCAGAGGGAGGUAGAAUUCCACGUGUAGCAGUGAAAUGCGUAGAGAUGUGGAGGAAUACCGAUGGCGAAGGCAGCCUCCUGGACCGGCAUUGACGCUGAGGAGCGAAA
rnacentral:rRNA from 1 species